rnacentral:rRNA from 1 species
GUGGAUUAGAUACCCUGGUAGUCCACGCUGUAAACGAUGAAUACUAGGUGUGGGGGGGCUGACCCCUUCCGUGCCGCAGUUAACACAAUAAGUAUUCCACCUGGGGAGUACGGCCGCAAGGUUGAAACUCAAAGGAAUUGACGAGGGCCCGCACAAGCAGUGGAUUAUGUGGUUUAAUUCGAAGCAACGCGAAGAACCUUACCAGGGCUUGACAUCCUACUAACGAAGCAGAGAUGCAUUAGGUGCCCUUCGGGGAAAGUAGAGACAGGUGGUGCACGGUUGUCGCCAACU